CGGGUGAGUAAUGCGUGACCAACCUGCCUCAUGCUCCAGAAUAGCUCUUGGAAACGGGUGGUAAUGCUGGAUGCUCCAACUUGACGCAUGUCUUGUUGGGAAAGUGUUUAGUGGCAUGGGAUGGGGUCGCGUCCUAUCAGCUUGUAGGCGGGGUAAUGGCCCACCUAGGCUUCGACGGGUAGCCGGCCUGAGAGGGCGGACGGCCACAUUGGGACUGAGAUACGGCCCAGACUCCUACGGGAGGCAGCAGUU
rnacentral:rRNA from 1 species